ensembl:misc_RNA Metazoa_SRP Metazoan signal recognition particle RNA
GCCAGGUAUGGUGACGCAGGCCUGUAAUCCCAGCUACUUGGGAGGCUGAGGCAGGAGGAUCACUUGAGCCCAGGAGGUCGAGGCUGGAGUGAUGCAAUCUCAGCUCACCCAGCCUGGGCAACAGAGUGAGACCCUGCCUCAG